CUAAACCUUUUUUUUGUUAAGGAAUCUAAAAGUAUGAUAUUAAAAGUGUUGAAAAAUAAAGUAAAACAGUAUUUACCGCUGUAGACACAGUAUUUGCUAAUUCUUUGAACUCUGGUGAAGAAACAUUAUUCAAAUCUGCUGUGAAGUUUUGCUCCAAUUUGAACUCCAACUUCACCUCUGGUGGUGGAGGGGCCGGUGUUGUGGUAGUGGUUGAAUAACCUGUUGUAACUGUGGUCAGAGCAGAUGUUGUUGUUCUUGGAGCAGCUGUGGUUGUUGUGGCAGCAGCUGUGGUGGUUUUGGGAGCAGCUGUGGUUGUUGCUGGAGCAGAAGUGCUUGUUGUGGCAGCAUAUGUUGUUGUUGCUUGAGAGGCUGUGGUUGUUGCUGGAGCAGCUGUGCUUGUUGUGGGAGCAUAAGUGGUUGUUGUGGGAGCAUAUGUUGUUGUUGCUGGAGCAGCUGUGGUUGUUGUGGGAGCAGAAGUGGUUGAUGUGGGAGCAUAUGUUGUUGUUGCUGGAGCAGCUGUGUUUGUUUGUGUGUUUGCUGUUGAAGCAGGUGUGGUUAAUGUGGGAACACCUGAGGAUGUUGUGUAAAUAGCUGUUGUUGUUGUGGGAUUAGCUGUGGUUGUUGAUGGAGCAGCUGUGGUUGUUGUGGGAGUAGCUGUGGUUGUCAUUGGAGUAUCUGUGGUUGUUGUAGCCUCAGUUGUAGUUGUCUUUGGAGCUGCUGUGGUUGUUGUGCGAGCAGUUGUGGUUGUUGUUGUAGAUGGUGUCGUUGAUGUGGGAGCAUCUGUGGUUGUUGUAGCCCCAAUUGUAGUUGUCGUUGGAGCUUGUAUGGUGGUUGUGGGAGAAGCUGUGGUUGUUGUUGGAGCAGAUGUGGUUGUUUUUGGAACAUCUGGAGUUGUUGUCGUAGCAGCUGUGGUUUGUGUGGGAACAGCUGUGGUUGUUGUGGGAGCAGCGGUGGUUGUUGUGGGAGCAGCUGUGGUUGUUGUGGGAGCAACUGUGGUUGUUGUGGGAACACCUGAGAAUGUUGUGUAAGUAGCUGUCGUUGUUGUAGGAAUAGCUGUGGUUGUUAUGGGAGCAGGUGGGGUUGUUGUUGGAUAUGCUAUGGUUGUUGUGGGUGCAUCUGUGGUUGUUGUGGGAGAUUCUGUGGUUUUUGAUGGAGCAGAUGUCGUUGCUGUUGGAACACCUGAGGAUGUUGUGUAAGUAGCUGUCAUUGUUGUGGGAUUAGCUGUGGUUGUUGUUGGAGCAGCUGUGGUUGUUGUGAGAGCAGCUGUGGUUGUUGUGGGAGCAGAUGUGGUUGUUGUGAGAGCAGCUGUGGUUGUGGGAGCAGCUGUGCUUGUUGUGGGAGCAGCUGUGGUUGCUGUGGGAGAUUCUGUGGUUUUUGAAGUCGUGACUGUGGUUGUUGUGGGAGAUUCUGUGGUUGUUGUUGGAGCAGCUGUGGUUGUUGUGGGAGGAGCAGUGGUUGUUGUGGGAGAUGCUGUGUUUGUUGUGGGAGAGGCUGCUGUUGUUGGGAUAGCAGCUGUCGUUGAUAUGGAGGCAGCUGUGAUGGUCAUUUGAGCAGCUAUGGUUGUUGUUGGAACAUUUGGAGUUUUUGUCAGAGCAGGUGGCGUUGUUGUGGGUAUAGCUGUUGUUGUUGUGGCAGCAACUGUGGUUGUUGUGGGAGAUUCUGUGGUUGCUGUGGAAGAAUAUGUGGGGAAGGAUGUGGUUGUUGUGCGAGCAGCUGUGGUUGUUGUUGGAGAAGGUGUGGUUGAUGUGGGAGCAGUUUUGGUUGUUGUUGGAGUAUCUGUGGUUGUUGUAGCCCCAAUUGUAGUUGUCGUUGGAGCUUGUAUGGUUGUUGUGGGAGAAGCUGUGGUUGUUGUUUGAACAUCUUGGGUUGUUGUCGUAGCAGCUGUGGUUGUUCUGGGAACAGCUGUGGUUGUUGUUGGAGCAGCUGUGGUUGUUGUGGGAACAGCUCUGGUUGUUGUGGCAGCGACUGUGGUUGUUGUGGGAGCAGCUGUGGUUGUUGUGGGAGCAGCUGUGGUUGUUGUGGGAACACCUGAUGAUGUUGUGUAAGUAGCUGUCGUGGUUGUGGGAUUAGCUGUGGUUGUUGUUGGAGCAGCUGUGGUUGUUGUGGGAGCAGCUGUGGUUGUUGUGAGAGUAGCUGUGGUUGUUGUGGGAGCAGCUGUGGUUGUUGUGGGAGCAGCUGUGGUUGUUGUGGGAGCAGCUGUGGUUGUUUUGGGAGCAUAUGUGGUUGUUGUGGGAGCCGCUGUGUUUGUUGUGGGAGCAUCUGUGGUUGUUGUAGCCCCAAAUGUAGUUGUCGUUGGAGCUUGUAUGUUGGUUGUGGGCAAAGCUGUGGUUGUUUUCGGAGCAGAUGUGGUUGUUUUUGGAACAUCUGGAGUUGUUGUCGUAGCAGCUGUGGUUUGUGUGGGAACAGCUGUGGUUGUUGUGGGAGCAGCUGUGGUUGUUGUGGGAUCAGCUGUGGUUGUUGUGGGAGCCGCUGUGUUUGCUGUGAGAGCAGCUGUGGUUGUUGUGGGAGCAGAUGUGGUAGUUGUGAGAGCAGCUGUAGUUGUUGUGGGAGCAGCUGUGGUUGUUGUUGGAGCAGCUGUGGUUGCUGUGGGAGAUUCUGUGGUUUUUGAAGUCGUGACUCUGGUUGUUGUGGGAGAUUCUGUGGUUGUUGUGGCAGCAACUGUGGUUGUUGUGGGAGAUUCUGUGGUUGUUGUGGGAGCAGAUGUGGGUCCUGUGGGGAAGGAUGUGGUUGUUGUGCGAGCAGCUGUGGUUGUUGUUGGAGAAGGUGUGGUUGAUGUGGGAGCAGAUUUUGUUGUUGUUGGAGUAUCUGUGGUUGUUGUAGCCCCAAUUGUAGUUGUCGUUGGAUCUUGUAUGGUUGUUGUGGGAGAAGCUGUGGUUGUUGUUUGAACAUCUUGGGUUGUUGUCGUAGCAGCUAUGGUUGUUCUGGGAACAGCUGUGGUUGUUUUUGGAGCAGCUGUGGUUGUUGUGGGAGCAGCUGUGGUUGUUGUGGGAGUCACUGUGUUUGUUGUGGGAGCAGCUGUGGUUGUUGUGGGAGCAACUGUGGUUGUUGUGGGAACACCUGAUGAUAAAGUGUAAGUGGCUGUCGUGGUUGUGGGAUUAGCUGUGGUUCUUGUUGGAGCAGCUGUGGUUGUUGUGGGAGCAGCUGUGGUUGUUGUGAGAGUAGCUGUGGUUGUUGUGAGAGUAGCUGUGGUUGCUGUAAGAGCAGCUGUGGUUGUUAUGGGAGCAGCUGGUGUUAUUGUUGGAUUAGCUGUGUUUGUUGUGGGAGCAGCUGUGGUUGUUUUGGGAGCAUAUGUGGUUGUUGUGGGAGCCGCUGUGUUUGUUGUCGGAGAAGCUGUGGUUGUUGGGAGAGCAGAUGUGGUUAUUGUGGAAGAUUCUGUGGUUGCUGUUGAAGCAGCUGUGGUUGCUGUGGGAGCGGUUGUGUUUGUUGUGGGAGCAACUGUGGUUGUUGCGGGAACAAAUGAGGCUGUUGUGAGAGUAGCUGUGGUUGUUGUGGGAGCAGCUGUGGUUGUUUUGGGAGCAUCUGUGGUUGUUGUGGGAGCCGGUGUGUUUGUUGUGGGAGAAGCUGUGGUUGUUGGCGGAGCAGCUGUAGUUGUUGUGGAAUAUUCUGUGGUUGCUGUUGAAGCAGCUGUGGUUGCUUUGGGAGCAGAUGUGGGUGUUGUGGGGAAGGAUGUGGUUGUUUUGGGAGCAGCUGUGGUUGUUGUUGGAGAAGGUGUGGUUGAUGUGGGAGCAGCUGUGGUUGUUGUUGGAGUAUCUGUGGUUGUUGUAGCCCCAAUUGUAGUUGUCGUUGGAUCUUGUAUGGUUGUUGUGGGAGAAGCUGUGGUUGUUGUUUGAACAUCUGUGGUUGUUGU
ensembl:lncRNA